AGAGUUUGAUCCUGGCUCAGAACGAACGUUGGCGGCGUGGAUUAGGCAUGCAAGUCGUACGGGACUUGUGGGCAACUCCAAGUUUAGUGGCGAACGGGUGAGUAACGCGUGGGAAACCUGCCCUUGAGAGGGGAAUAACACUCCCAACGGGGUGCUAAUACCGCAUAAGACCACGAGGUCGCAUGGCUUCGGGGUCAAAGGUGGGGACCGUAAGGCCUACCGCUUGAGGAUGGUCCCGCGUCUGAUUAGCUAGUUGGUGGGGUAACGGCCUACCAAGGCUACGAUCAGUAGCUGGUCUGAGAGGAUGGUCAGCCACACUGGGACUGAGAUACGGCCCAGACUCCUACGGGAGGCAGCAGUCGAGAGGCUUCGGCAAUGGGGGAAACCCUGACCGAGCGACGCCGCGUGGGCGAUGAAGGCCGUUAGGUUGUAAAGCCCUGUCGUGCGGGACGAAUUCAGGAGGGUGAACAAUCCUUCUGUUUGACGGUACCGCAAAAGGAAGCUCCGGCUAACUCCGUGCCAGCAGCCGCGGUAAUACGGGGGGAGCGAACGUUGUUCGGAAUCACUGGGCGUAAAGGGCGUGCAGGCGGCUCGAUAAGUGGAAGGUGAAAUGCCCUGGCUCAACCAGGGAACUGCCUUCCAUACUGUCGAGCUUGAGUGCGGGAGAGGAUGGGAGAAUUCCCGGUGUAGCGGUGGAAUGCAUUGAUAUCGGGAGGAAUACCAGUGGCGAAGGCGCCCAUCUGGCCCGACACUGACGCUCAGGCGCGAAAGCUAGGGGAGCAAACAGGAUUAGAUACCCUGGUAGUCCUAGCUGUAAACGGUGGGCACUAGGUGUAGGAGGCAUCGACCCCUCCUGUGCCGUAGCUAACGCAUUAAGUGCCCCGCCUGGGGAGUACGACCGCAAGGUUGAAACUCAAAGGAAUUGACGG
rnacentral:rRNA from 1 species